CCCCGGAGAGGGGAGUGAAAUAGACUCUGAAACCCUGUGCGUACAAGCAGUGGGAGCCUGUCUGCGGACGGGUGACUGCGUACCUUUUGUAUAAUGGGUCAGCGAGUUAUUCUCAGUGGCGAGGUUAACCGUAUAGGGGAGCCGUAGGGAAACCGAGUCUUAAUAGGGCGCCAUAGUCGCUGGGAAUAGACCCGAAACCGGGCGAUCUAUCCAUGACCAGGGUGAAGGUUGGGUAACACCAACUGGAGGCCCGAACCGAAAUCUGUUGAAAAAGAUUCGGAUGAGUUGUGGAUCGGAGUGAAAGGCUAAUCAAGCUCGGAGAUAGCUGGUUCUCCUCGAAAGCUAUUUAGGUAGCGCCUCUCGUAUCACUCCUGGGGGUAGAGCACUGUUUCGGCUAGGGGGUCAUCCCGACUUACCAAACCGAUGCAAACUUCGAAUACCAGGAAGUGUCAGCGAGGGAGACAGACGGCGGGUGCUAACGUCCGUCGUCAAAAGGGAAACAACCCAGACCGCCAGCUAAGGUCCCCAAGUGACAGUUAAGUGGG
rnacentral:rRNA from 1 species